ACUUGUGUACAUGCCUACAACAUAGUGUUAAUGCACCAGAUCCCAUUAGAAAUCUGCAUUUAAGCGUGCUCGGGCUAGAGUAGUACUGGGAUGGGUGAUCGCUCGAGAAGUCCUAUAAUUUUACAUGCC
rfam:Picea glauca, whole genome shotgun sequence.